UUUUUUUGGUUCUUUUUUUCGGAGCUGGGGACCGGACCCAGGGCCUUGUGCUUCCUAGGUAAGCGCUCUACCACUGAGCUAAAUCCCCAGCCCCAUUCACCCACUUUAAAAUUGUCUCAUCACUUGUAAUUUGAUUUUGAGGAUAACUGCUUCCUUUCCCUUUGACCCUAUGCGCUUUUUUUUUUAAGCCAGGGAUAUGUUUUAUGCGAGAUGACGAGGUGGGAGGGGUUGACUCGGCCGACCCAUGCCAAGGCAUCACCCCCCCCACCCCCGCACCCCCAGGUACCAGCCAUACGUCGGAUAUAAUGUAAAAUAAUUUAUUUGGGGGCAUGGGAAGGGGAGUUGAAAAGGAGAAAGAGAGAAAGAAAGAGGGGCCAGCCGGGAACACGUGGAGAGGGGAAGAGGGAAGGGAAGAGAGGGAGAAAGAGAGGUCAGGGAGAGAAGAGUUGAGAGAGCGAGGAGGGGCCAAACAGUCCCUAUUAAAGCAAACCAGGCCUAACUGGCUGUUGCUAGGUAACCGUUGGGCCGAGCGUAGAAGGAAUGCUAACAACGGCCCAUCCGUGCCUUUGAAACGUAAUCAUAGCAGCCUUAUGCUAUUCUUGCAUAAUUUGGGUACACGCCCAACAGGCGUCUUCCAGCCCCACUAUCCAGAAACCGGUUCAUCCUGCACACUCACGCCUCCCUAGUGUCGAGUCCAAAUUUCUGGCCCGCACAACUGUAGGCAAAUCAAAACUGAGGUGGCUCUAUUUACCAACCCCGUGACCAAACAAAAUUAAACAAAGGUCUAUGAGGGGAACAAUGAGAUGUGUAUCAAAUAGUUCCUUUGUUCACGAGAGGUCUCGAAGCACAUCUAGAUUGGAUAUAAAACACCGAGGAACAUCGGAGGAUCUAGUGGUACCGAUACCCUCAACUAGCGAGAAGUAGGCUCUAUAUUUAGUUACGUGAGCCGCUUCACCACGAGGACCCGCCCAAACCACUGGUGUCGUUGACAAUGCAAACUUUAAAAUACGUCUACAGUCCCUAGGUGCCUAGGUCAAGUUGGCCGCGGGCCAUUUGUCAUCAGCCGAAGCGACAUUCCCGUCCAGGAUCUUAGGCAGCACAGCCGCGAACCGAACACCUAAAGAGAAGUCCCAACCAAU
rnacentral:lncRNA from 1 species